rnacentral:rRNA from 1 species
AACGAACGCUGGCGGCAGGCUUAACACAUGCAAGUCGAGCGCCCCGCAAGGGGAGCGGCAGACGGGUGAGUAACGCGUGGGAAUCUACCCAUCUCUACGGAAUAACGCAUGGAAACGUGUGCUAAUACCGUAUACGUCCUUCGGGAGAAAGAUUUAUCGGAGAUGGAUGAGCCCGCGUUGGAUUAGCUAGUUGGUGGGGUAAAGGCCUACCAAGGCGACGAUCCAUAGCUGGUCUGAGAAGAUGAUAAGCCACACUGGGACUGAGACACGGCCCAGACUCCUACGGGAGGCAGCAGUGGGCAAUACUGGACAAUGGGCGCAAGCCUGAUCCAGCCAUGCCGCGUGAGUGAUGAGGGCCCUAGGGUUGUAAAGCUCUUUCACCGGUGAAGAUAAUGACGGUAACCGGAGAAGAAGCCCCGGCUAACUUCGUGCCAGCCGCCGCGGUAACAC